AGCAGUCGCCGCGGGAAUACGUAGGGUGCAAGCGUUAAUCGGAAUUACUGGGCGUAAAGCGUGCGCAGGCGGUUAUAUAAGACAGAUGUGAAAUCCCCGGGCUCAACCUGGGAAUGGCAGUGGAUACUGGCUCGCUAGAGUGUGUCAGAGGAUGGUGGAAUUCCCGGUGUAGCGGUGAAAUGCGUAGAGAUCGGGAGGAACAUCAGUGGCGAAGGCGGCCAUCUGGGACAACACUGACGCUGAGGCACGAAAGCGUGGGGAGCAAACAGGAUUAGAUACCCCUGUAGUCCCUGUCUCUUAUAC
rnacentral:rRNA from 1 species